rnacentral:misc_RNA from 1 species
CCUACAACGACCUUGCGGAGG